rfam:Picea glauca, whole genome shotgun sequence.
UCUUAUGUACAUACCUACAACAUAGUGUUAAUGCACUAGAUCCCAUUAGAACUCUGCAAUUAAGUGUGCUUGGGCUAAAGUAGUACUAGGAUGGGUGAUCAGUUGGGAAGUCCUAGUGUUUU